rnacentral:lncRNA from 1 species
AACAUAUUCUUUAAGGGAUUAUUGAUAUGAUUAGCCAUAUAUGGUUGAUGCAACAUAUUUUUGAACCUUUGUUACAUUUGCAGGACUUGUUGGCCCCUAAUGUCCUGCUCUCUUUUUCUGUCUUCACUGUUCAAUCAGAAUGAGGAUUCCAGAAUCACAGGGGUCAGUUGACCUCUCAAAAAGAUUGUCUUAGCUGGAGAUAGUAUCCAUUGGCGAUAUUUUGCCUGAAUUCGUGGAGAAGUGACGCCACCAUUAGGUACUAUGUGGGCUUAUUCUAGCAUGGAAGAUUAUGUGCAGGAAAUUGUUUCUUUGCAGUGCAAUUUCAAUGACUUGCAAUACUUUUCACAUCAAAAGUUCGACUGUUCCAGAGAAAUGACUGUUAUCAUUCAUAAUCUCCUUUUUCUCUUAAGUUUUUGGGGGAAUUAAUGCCCAAGGAUAUGAGGUGUAGAAAUAGAAUAUGAGUUUGAUCGAGGAAAUUCUGUACAGUGUAGUUACAUUAUCCGAAUCUUUUGGGUUCACAGGGUUGGAAAUCAGUCAAAUAUUCGUGUAAUCUGUUGCAACAGUUUUUUAAUAUCUUUAAACUUUCGAAGUAAAAAUUGAUUUAAUUUUUAGUUUCUUCUUUUA